AGUGAUAACCAACACGCCGGGCCUGUGAAUAACACACAUCUCACUCUCAUUUGCGGUCCAGUUAUCGCCCAACCAUCCUCUCGAGGUCGUCGUAGCCAGGUGGCAAGGGCGAUCUAAAAAUCACGUGAAGUUGUAUAUGAGUGCUGUGGGUGAGUUUCACUGAUUGAUGGUGUUUACGCUUUACUUGCUGUGUGUAUGCUGUGCUUGUAGCGUUCAAACUGCCUAGCCUCCGACGAGUCACGAGACGACGACAUCCGUUGUGGCCUGGGUCCUAAGGAGAGCGAGAAAAUUGAGCCCUGUGCCCGGGGUGUGUCAACGAGAGCUUCGUUUGUCCAUAGAGCAGACAGUGGUGAAACCCAGUGAGUAUUAUCAAGAGUGUACCGUGCGGACUGUGGGUUGUAACGGUGUGUGUACUGACCUCUCCAACAGAAGCUCGUGGUGAGCGGAGCCCCGACGAAGGUUCGCCCCAACUCGUGACCCCGGUCGUGGAAGAAGGAGGGGGAGUUUGGGAAGCGUUCGGCUCCGUGUCAUCGGACCCACUAGUCCCUACGACGCCCGGACAGCCGGAGUGGAUGAGCGAAGGAAUACGGUGCAGCAAUCACCUACCUGUACAAGUGAAGCUCUGUGCGCAUGAAGAUCUCCAGUACUAAAUUACCUACCUGUGCCGGUGAAGCUCUGUAUGGGAACGAAGAUCCUCUAGUGCUGUGGGUAACAUAACCUGUGGAGAGAACUUGACCUGUGGCUAUAGCCAUCACUUACCGUUCCAACGAAGGUCCCGUGUUGAACGAACAGCGACUAGUAACGAAGUACCUUACCCUUGUCUGACUAUUAUUUGAUUCUGCCUCCAGGAGAAGCGGAGCGCGCCACGGAU